rnacentral:rRNA from 1 species
GAUGAACGCUGGCGGCGUGCCUAAUACAUGCAAGUCGAGCGAACGGACGAGAAGCUUGCUUCUCUGAUGUUAGCGGCGGACGGGUGAGUAACACGUGGAUAACCUACCUAUAAGACUGGGAUAACUUCGGGAAACCGUAGCUAAUACCGGAUAAUAUUUUGAACCGCAUGGUUCAAAAGUGAAAGACGGUCUUGCUGUCACUUAUAGAUGGAUCCGCGCUGCAUUAGCUAGUUGGUAAGGUAACGGCUUACCAAGGCAACGAUGCAUAGCCGACCUGAGAGGGUGAUCGGCCACACUGGAACUGAGACACGGUCCAGACUCCUACGGGAGGCAGCAGUAGGGAAUCUUCCGCAAUGGGCGAAAGCCUGACGGAGCAACGCCGCGUGAGUGAUGAAGGUCUUCGCAUCGUAAAACUCUGUUAUUAGGGAAGAACAUAUGUGUAAGUAACUGUGCACAUCUUGACGGUACCUAAUCAGAAAGCCACGGCUAACUACGUG